rnacentral:rRNA from 1 species
CCUACGGGUGGCAGCAGUGGGGAAUAUUGCACAAUGGGGGAAACCCUGAUGCAGCGACGCCGCGUGAGUGAAGAAGUAAUUCGUUACGUAAAGCUCUAUCAGCAGGGAAGAAAUACUGACCUUACGGUCAGCAGACGGUACCUGAGUAAGAAGCCCCGGCUAACUACGUGCCAGCAGCCGCGGUAAUACGUAGGGGGCAAGCGUUAGCCGGAUUUACUGGGUGUAAAGGGGGCGUAGACGGUGCGCCAAGUCUGUAGGGAAAUGCCGCAGCUUAACUGCGGAACUGCUUUGGAAACUGGCGAACUAGAGUGCGGGAGGGGUAAGCGGAAUUCCUAGUGUAGCUGUGAAAUGCGUAGAUAUUAGGAGGAACCCCGGUGGCGAAGGCGGCUUACUGGACCGUAACUGACGUUUAGGCUCGAAAGCGUGGGGAGCAAACAGGAUUAGAUACCCUUGUAGUC